ACCCAUUUCAGUUAUCUCACUAUCAGUCACUCUUUUGGUCUUCGAAAUCAAAACCCUAGAAACAAAAUCUGAUUCAAAAUACUCUGUGUCCCUUCUGCUAUCACUAUUGCUCCUCUCUCCGAACAAAGGGUUUGAUUAUGGGGAGAUUUAACGAUCUACCCAAAGAGAUAAUGCUCGAAAUUUUAAGUCGUUUGCCAAUUGAGUCUGUUUUAGACUGCAAAUUGGUUUGCAAACCUUGGAAAAAUGUUGUUCAUCACUCAUCCUUCUCCCAAAUGCACCUAAAUCAGCUUAAUUCUGCUGAACUGUACAAGUAUGGAGGCCAUAAUGAAGUGGAAACGGGAAGCACAACCAUAGACUUGGCGAAGUUAAUACCAAUGAAGUAAUACAGCAGUCAUCUCAUCUAAAAAUCAAGUGGUUUUGGCUAAGAAGCGUUUAUUGAAUUGGGACAGCUAAGUGGCUUCUACGCCGACUGGAUUGAGCCACGUUCACCUACCAAUGUUGAGAGCUGAGUUUUACUUCCGGUCCCAUCGAUUUGUGUUGUUUGUUAUAGUUUUUCUUUCUUCAUUUCCUGCAAUUAUAGAAGGCUAGAAAUUUUCAGUGCAGUUUAGUAUAAGCUGGAUAUAUUGAAACCAGGUAUGUUGCUUAUUACCAUUGUUGAUAUGCGGAUAGCUAAAAACUAAGGGCAAAGAUAGUAACUAUGUGAGUUUUGGUUUUGGAGAUCUUGAUGAAGGAAAUUAUUUGUCAGAA